rnacentral:rRNA from 1 species
UACAGAGGAUGCAAGCGUUAUCCGGAAUGAUUGGGCGUAAAGCGUCUGUAGGUGGCUUUUUAAGUCCGCCGUCAAAUCCCAGGGCUCAACUCUGGACAGGCGGUGGAAACUACCAAGCUGGAGUACGGUAGGGGCAGAGGGAAUUUCCGGUGGAGCGAUGAAAUGCGUAGAGAUCGGAAAGAACACCAACGGCGAAAGCGCUCUGCUGGGCUGACACUGACACUGAGAGACGAAAGCUAGGGGAGCGAAUGGG